UGGGGAAUAUUGCACAAUGGGCGCAAGCCUGAUGCAGCCAUGCCGCGUGUAUGAAGAAGGCCUUCGGGUUGUAAAGUACUUUCAGUCGGGAGGAAGGUGGUAAGGUUAAUAACCUUAUCAAUUGACGUUACCGACAGAAGAAGCACCGGCUAACUCCGUGCCAGCAGCCGCGGUAAUACGGAGGGUGCAAGCGUUAAUCGGAAUUACUGGGCGUAAAGCGCACGCAGGCGGUUGAUUGAGUCAGAUGUGAAAUCCCCAGGCUUAACCCGGGAAUUGCAUCUGAUACUGGUCAGCUAGAGUCUUGUAGAGGGGGGUAGAAUUCCAUGUGUAGCGGUGAAAUGCGUAGAGAUGUGGAGGAAUACCGGUGGCGAAGGCGGCCCCCUGGACAAAGACUGACGCUCAGGUGCGAAAGCGUGGGGAGCAAACAGG
rnacentral:rRNA from 1 species